CCGGAGCCUCUUACACGUUCUGGAGCGGCUGGGGCAUACACCCAGUUUAAGCCUGGCUAUCGGUAAGACCAGGCGAUUGUUGCACAUGUUUUGUUUUUUCACUUCUUUUCACUCUCAUUGUCCCCUUCUUUUCCCCUCCCUCAACUCAUACCUAUGUUCUCCGGGGAGGAGGAGCGGGGGAAACUAGGAGCACGGAGCCCCCAGUCGGCAGC